CCUACCUCCUGCGUGAGUAUAGUGGAUUGUGUCACACGUGCGUGCUGUCCAGCAUGCGGGUGCGGCUUUGGUUGCUCACCUCACACAUGGGUGCCUUCACUUAUGCACCCAAUGGGCCUCGAGGCCCACGUCACUACUUGGGCUUCUUCCUCUUGGUGCAAUCUCUUUGGGCCGAGACUUUCCUUAGUCGUGAGGCCUUGAUGCCUUCUUGUUUUGGACCAAGACUUGGACCUCUCUCGAGUUGGGCCAAUAAUGGGUCUUUCU
rnacentral:lncRNA from 1 species